UACGGGGGGGGCAAGCGUUGUUCGGAAUUACUGGGCGUAAAGGGCUCGUAGGCGGCCAACUAAGUCGGACGUGAAAUCCCUCGGCUUAACCGGGGAACGGCGUCCGAUACUGGAUGGCUUGAGUUUGGGAGAGGGAUGCGGAAUUCCAGGUGUAGCGGUGAAAUGCGUAGAUAUCUGGAGGAACACCGGUGGCGAAGGCGGGCAUCCUGGACCAAACUGACGCUGAAUAGCGAAAGCCAGGGGAGCAAACGGG
rnacentral:rRNA from 1 species